AGCGAACGUUUGCGGCGGGCCUAACACAUGCAAGUCGAACGCACUAGCAAUAGUGAGUGGCGCACGGGUGCGUAACACGUGGGUAAUCAACCCUUCAGCUUGGGAUAACGACUUGAAAGGGUCGCUAAUACCGGAUACGGCGCGGGAGGCUUCGGCUUCUCACGAGAAAGCCUCGCAAGGGGCACUGAAGGACGAGCCUGCGGCCCAUCAGCUAGUUGGUGAGGUAAGAGCUCACCAAGGCGAAGACGGGUAGCUGGUCUGAGAGGAUGAUCAGCCACACUGGAACUGAGACACGGUCCAGACUCCUACGGGAGGCAGCAGUGGGGAAUAUUGCGCAAUGGGCGAAAGCCUGACGCAGCCACGCCGCGUGAGCGAUGAAGGCCUCGGUCGUAAGAUCUGUGGGAGGAGACGAAGAAAGACCGU
rnacentral:rRNA from 1 species